UUUGAUCCUGGCUCAGGAUGAACGCUGACAGAAUGCUUAACACAUGCAAGUCGAUUCGAUUUACCUUCGGGUAUUGAGGAUGGCGGACGGGUGAGUAACGCGUAAGGAACUUGCCUCUUGGUCUGGGACAACUGUUGGAAACGACAGCUAAUACCGGAUAUUAUGAGAUUCUCGCAUGGGAAACUUAUGAAAGCUAUAUGCGCCAAGAGAGAGCCUUGCGUUCCAUUAGCUAGUUGGUGGGGUAACGGCCCACCAAGGCGACGAUGGAUAGCCGGCCUGAGAGGGUGAACGGCCACAAGGGGACUGAGACACGGCCCUUACUCCUACGGGAGGCAGCAGUGGGGAAUAUUGGACAAUGGGCCACAAGCCUGAUCCAGCAAUUCUGUGUGCACGAUGAAGGUCUUCGGAUUGUAAAGUGCUUUCAGUUGGGAAGAAGAAAGUGACGGUACCAACAGAAGAAGCGACGGCUAAAUACGUGCCAGCAGCCGCGGUAAUACGUAUGUCGCAAGCGUUAUCCGGAUUUAUUGGGCGUAAAGCGCGUCUAGGCGGAAAAAUAAGUCUGAUGUUAAAAUGCGGGGCUCAACUCCGUAUUGCGUUGGAAACUGUUUUUCUAGAGUACUGGAGAGGUGGGCGGAACUACAAGUGUAGAGGUGAAAUUCGUAGAUAUUUGUAGGAAUGCCGAUGGAGAAGUCAGCUCACUGGACAGANACUGACGCUAAAGCGCGAAAGCGUGGGGNGCAAACGGGAUUAGAUACCCUGGUAGUCCACGC
rnacentral:rRNA from 1 species